GAGUUUGAUCCUGGCUCAGGAUGAACGCUGGCGGCGUGCUUAAGACAUGCAAGUCGAACGCAGUCGUCUCGCAAGAGAUGGCUGAGUGGCGAAUGGGUGCGUAACACGUAGGUGACCUGCCCAGAAGUGGGGAAUAACAGUCCGAAAGGACUGCUAAUACCGCAUGCGGUGCGAGGGUUUUGAAGCCUGGUACCAAAGGUAUCCGCAAGGAUGCCGCUUCUGGAGGGGCCUGCGGCCCGUCAGCUAGUUGGUAGGGUAACGGCCUACCAAGGCGACGACGGGUAGGGGACCUGAGAGGGUGACCCCCCACACUGGCACUGACACACGGGCCAGACUCCUACGGGAGGCAGCAGUCGGGAAUAUUGCACAAUGGACGAAAGUCUGAUGCAGCAACGCCGCGUGCGCGAUGAAGGCCUUCGGGUCGUAAAGCGCUUUUCGGGUGGAUGAGAAGGGACAGUACACCCGGAAUCAGGAACGGCUAACUACGUGCCAGCAGCCGCGGUAAAACGUAGGUUCCGAGCGUUAUCCGGAUUUACUGGGCGUAAAGCGCGUUCAGGCGGUUUGGCAAGUCGGGCAUGAAAUCCUUCGGCUCAACCGGGGGAGGUUGUCCGAUACUGCUAAACUGGAGGGCAGUAGAGGGUGGUGGAAUUCCGGGUGUAGUGGUGAAAUGCGUAGAGAUCCGGAGGAACACCAGUGGCGAAAGCGGCCACCUGGACUGUACCUGACGCUGAAACGCGAAAGCUAGGGGAGCGAACGGGAUUAGAAACCCCGGUAGUCCUAGCUAUAAACGAUGUUGACUAGGUGUGGACGGUCUAAACCCCGCCCGUGCCGGAGCAAACGCAUUAAGUCAACCGCCUGGGGACUACGGCCGCAAGGUUAAAACUCAAAGGAAUUGACGGGGACCCGCACAAGCAGCGGAGCGUGUGGUUUAAUUCGAGGCUACGCGAAGAACCUUACCAGGGAUUGACAUGACGGUAGUAGUGAAGCGAAAGCGGAACGACCCUUCGGGGAGCCGUCACAGGUGAUGCAUGGCUGUCAUCAGCUCGUGCCGUGAGGUGUUUGGUCAAGUCCACUAACGAGCGCAACCCCUAGUGCCAGUUACAAGUGUCUGGCGCGACUGCCGGUAUUAAGCCGGAGGAAGGUGGGGAUGACGUCAAGUCAGCAUGUCCUUUAUGUCCAGGGCUACACACGUGUUACAAUGGCCGGUACAAACCGUCGCGAGAGCGCAAGCUGGAGCAAAUCGGAUAAAGCCGGUCUCAGUUCGGAUUGGGGUCUGCAACUCGACCCCAUGAAGCUGGAAUCGCUAGUAAUCGCGGAUCAGCACGCCGCGGUGAUACGUUCCCGGGCCUUGUACACAC
rnacentral:rRNA from 1 species